rnacentral:lncRNA from 1 species
GCCGCACUCAGCUCGGGAGACUUCUGCUCUCUAACAGCAAUUCCAUGUGUGGUGGCUCCUGUACUCCCCACCCCAGCAAAAACCAUGACCGGGAUGAAGGAGUGAAGACCAAGGAUGCUACUCCUCUGCAAUGAACAAUUUUGUUAUGUGAAGGAGAGCUCCAAAGGAGGAAGCUGAGCUGGAGGAUUUACCUGACAAAGGCAGUGGGACUUCAGCGUAAGGACCUAGUGCAGCCCAAGUGAAGGUGAGAGGAGGAAUGGCGGUGUUGCCAUGGAUAUGGGAUUUUUUUUCUCAUGCCCUGCCUUUGCUCUAAGGCCAAACAUUCUUUACACGG